GGAGGGUACAGCUCAGUGGUAGAGCACAUGCCUAGCAGGCAUGAGGUCCUGGGUUCAAUCCCCAGUCCCUCCA
rnacentral:tRNA from 1 species